rnacentral:rRNA from 1 species
CAAGUCGAGGGGUAACAGGGAUUGCUUGCAAUCCGCUGACGACCGGCGCACGGGUGAGUAACGCGUAUGCAACCUACCUUUUACUGGGGGAUAGUCAAGAGAAAUUUUGAAUAAUACCCCAUAUGAUCUGAUUCACUCCUGUGAAACAGAAGAAAAUUCCGAUGGUAAAAGAUGGGCAUGCGUCCUAUUAGUUUGUUGGUGAGGUAACGGCUCACCAAGACUUCGAUAGGUAGGGGUCCUGAGAGGGAGAUCCCCCACACUGGUACUGAGACACGGACCAGACUCCUACGGGAGGCAGCAGUGAGGAAUAUUGGACAAUGGAGGCAACUCUGAUCCAGCCAUGCCGCGUGCAGGAAGACGGCCCUAUGGGUUGUAAACUGCUUUUAUACAGGAAGAAACGUUAGUACGUGUACUAGCCUGACGGUACUGUAAGAAUAAGGAUCGGCUAACUCCGUGCCAGCAGCCGCGGUAAUACGGAGGAUCCAAGCGUUAUCCGGAAUCAUUGGGUUUAAAGGGUCCGCAGGCGGUCUAAUAAGUCAGAGGUGAAAUCCUAUCGCUCAACGAUAGAACUGCCUUUGAUACUGUUAGACUUGAGUUAUUGUGAAGUAGUUAGAAUGUGUAGUGUAGCGGUGAAAUGCAUAGAUAUUACACAGAAUACCGAUUGCGAAGGCAGAUUACUAACAAUACACUGACGCUCAGGGACGAAAGCGUGGGUAGCGAACAGGAUUAGAUACCCUGGUAGUCCACGCCGUAAACGAUGGUCACUAGCUGUUUGAUGCACAUUGGUGUGUUGAGUGGCUAAGCGAAAGUGAUAAGUGACCCACCUGGGGAGUAC